rnacentral:rRNA from 1 species
UACGUAGGGCGCAAGCGUUGUCCGGAAUUAUUGGGCGUAAGAGCUCGUAGCGGCCUGUCGCGUCCGCUGUGAAAUCCCGGGGCUUAACCCCGGGCGUGCAGUGGAUACGGGCUGGCUGGAGGCAGGCAGGGGAGAACGGAAUUCCCGGUGUAGCGGUGAAAUGCGCAGAUAUCGGGAGAACACCAGUGGCGAAGGCGGCUCACUGGACCGGC